CCUACGGGUGACAGCAGUGGGGGAUAUUGCACAAUGGGGGGAACCCUGAUGCAGCGACGCCGCGUGGGUGAAGGAGCGUUUCGGCGCGUAAAGCCCUAUCGGCAGGGAAGAAGAUGACGGUACGUGAACAAGACACCCCGGCUAACCACGUGCCAGCAGCCGCGGUAAGACGGAGGGGGCAAGCGUUAUCCGGGUUUACUGGGUGUAAAGGGGGCGCAGACGGCAAUGCAAGCCAGGUGUGAAAGCCCGGGGCCCAACCCCGGGACUGCUUUUGGAACUGGAUGGCUGGAGUACAGGAGGGGUAGGCGGAAUUCCUAGUGUAGCGGUGAAAUGCGUAGAUAUUAGGAGGAACACCGGUGGCGAAGGCGGCCUGCUGGACUGUGACUGACGUUGAGGCCCGAAGGCGUGGGGAGCAAACAGGAUUAGAUACCCUUGUAGUC
rnacentral:rRNA from 1 species